CAACAAACAAAAUCUCACACGCCACUUACGUACGAACGCAAAAGUUAUGCAAGCAUAAAGCCAGUACGUAGUAUAUUUGUAUUUACUUGUUGAACCUGUGUUAUCAAUCGCAGAUGGAAUACGACCAGCAACUGCAAUUUGUCAGUGACGUUUUCAAAAUGCUGAAAAUGUGGAAUAGUGGGUCAAGGUUGGAAAGAUAAGGAAACUAUACAAAUGUAACAGAAGGUCUUGCCACAUUUGCAUCACAGAUGCCAUGCAUGUCUUAUGGCUACUUAAAGAAAGAUAUGCAGGUAUAGAUGUGUCGAAUACUCGAAUCGACGCAGAUAGAAAAAACAUCAACGUCGCCAUGUAAAAGUCUGGCAAAGUUUUUUCGCGCCUUCGAUCAUAUAUUGAUUAGCUAAAUUCAAUCGUCUGACAAACAGAUGACGAGACCUACAUCUUCUAGCGGCAGCAUAUGUCGGGUACAAUGACGAAACCCGAAGACCAAUUCCUUGUUAGUCUCCAUUUGUUUUGUGUUGUGUCUCAAGGACAAAAGGAACAAAAUCAAGUGCCCUGUCAGCCGAAAAGUGCACUCGGGAGGUAUUUCCACAUUGACAGACAGAUACCAAUCGCUGAAGCUAAAUGGAGAAGAACACAGCCGAGAUGGAACUUUGUCUGGAAAGUGAAGGCCACCCAAAGCAGAAGUUCACGAGGAGGCAUUCAAUCUGGAAGGUUAGAUGAUUGGUUUGGCAGUGAUGAGAACAGUGAAGAUGGCCUGGAGUGUGGAUACUGCUCACCCAUCGCUCUUUUGUUACGUCGAUGGCCCAGCCGAACAAGAAUUCGAUUAUUUCCAAUUCACCCAAACGUUAUUCGUCCACCAGCAAAUCGGAAUAACUCUCUGGAUAAGAACGUUUACGUUAUUCUGUCUUCAUUUCAGCGCAUUUGAUUCUCAAUUUUAUUCCACUCCUGCCUACCGUCUGCGACAUUUCUUUCCGUAUUCGUCCAUUUCGCACGCAAGUUUAUUGCGUCGACAAUCAACAACGAUUUAUCUACACUGGUUGGUCAGACGUUACGCACCGAUGUGAUGAAGCUAAAAUCCUAUUAAUAUUUGAACACUGCAAGCAAGUCGGCGAUCUGUACAUAGCAAAUGAACAAAGGCACAAAUAUGGAUGCCAUGAUUCGGGCUUUUUAAAAAAUUGUAUUGUUUUUUUCCCCGGUGCUAUUUCACGACAGACAUGCCCUCUUCCCACGAAAGGAAGUGAUUCUAAUGGCAAUGUGAUCAUAGUGAAAUCACCCUGGCUAAUAAGCGCCAACAAGAAUAACUGUCUGUAGGCCCUAUAUCAUUUGAAGUAUAGGCCGAUACGGGCCGAUACAGCGCCCGGCUUAUUCUGUAAACGUGAAAUGCCACUUUAAUUGUUUUCCUUUAAUUGUACAUGUUCAAAAAAAAAAAACCUAUGCUGUAAAACUUCAAUAAGUUUGUUAAUGCGCUGCAUUAAACAACAAAAAUGCCACACGUGGACUCAUAGGAUAUUUGAGUCAGAAAAUAAAACUAAUAAACAUCAGAAUGAAAAACAUGUCAACCGUUGUUAUUCCCUCUCUAAUUCUCUACCGACUACCCACGUUCAAAUUUGAACUUGGCGGGGAAACAUCAGGGCUUGUUGUAGAA